AUGGUGUUGAGCUCCACUACUCUUACAUCAUCUCCUUUCUCUCACUUCCCUCGUCGUCAACGCCUCACAGCUCAUCUUCUCCAUUUCACUUCCUUUCCAAUUCACCAACCUCAGAUUCUCCUCUCUCUCUCUCUCUCCUUUCCAAUUCACCAUCGGCCUCCGAAACUACCUCUCGGAUCCAGACUUCUGCCGCCGCGUUCGUGUCUCUUUUAGCUUCGGCUCUUCAUCUCCGGCCACUGGCUUCGGCGGCCUCUGCUCCGCGGAUGUGUCCUGUUUGUCUACUGGAGUGAUCGAGAGAAUAGGAUUAAAAUGGUUUGUGUGACUGGUUUACUUUAUGCCAUGCUCUUCGAUCUCAAGCAGCGAUGGGUGUUAGAGUUCCCAAUCAUUGAGUGCCAACGUCUUCAGCUUCAAGAUUUCUGAGUAUGUAUGUGAACGGCGUUGCUGUUGGAGAUUGAAGAGACUUAUAAAUCCUAACUUUUGGUGUGCAGAUAAGGAGGACAAAUCCAAACCCCGACGGAUGUCAUCUAAACCCCAACGAACGGAAUCAUCACACCAUUUAAGCAGAUCGAUAAGUGGGAAGAACCCUAAAAGUGGGACGAAGCGCUCAGAGAGCGUAAGGGCUGCCGCAGACCGGGCCGUGUUCAAUACCAAAACAAAGCCCAUAUAUAAAAAAAAGUCCAUAAACAUUGCGGCAGUUUUAAUGAAACGAAGCGUUUAAAGAAAAGUGGACACCUGUCAGCCUCUCCUUCCUCGACUUAAUGACGUGGCACAACAGGAGAGAAGGAACAUUUUUUUAUAUAUAUAGAUUCACAUUGCCGAUAAGCUAUCAUCCGUCUUAUUUAUCACCAACUUCUUUAUCUUGUCAACAGAGAACACGCCAGAGAAUAAAGUGAUAGAUUUGUGUAACGUUUCUCAGCACUGCCUAUAGAAGAAGAAUGUUGAAGCAAGAGAGCUGGGAAAGAAGAACGUAUGAAGCAUGAGGUGAAAGCAUUUCAUGCCAAGGGAAGAUAGAAUUGCAGCUUCAUAUUAAAGUAUUGUAAACUACAUUUCAUUAAACAUGAAGUUAUUAUUCUAGAGA